rnacentral:rRNA from 1 species
UGGGGAAUAUUGCACAAUGGAGGGAACUCUGAUGCAGCAACGCCGCGUGCGGGAUGACGGCCUUCGGGUUGUAAACCGCUUUCAGCCAUGACGAAGCUUUUGUGACGGUAGUGGUAGAAGAAGCACCGGCUAACUACGUGCCAGCAGCCGCGGUGAUACGUAGGGUGCGAGCGUUGUCCGGAAUUAUUGGGCGUAAAGAGCUUGUAGGCGGUUUGUCGCGUCGAUAGUGUAAACACGCAGCUUAACUGUGUGCCUGCUGUCGAUACGGGCUGACUAGAGGAGGGUAGGGGAGAAUGGAAUUCCCGGUGGAGCGGUGGAAUGCGCAGACAUCGGGAGGAACACCAGUGGCGAAGGCGGUUCUCUGGACCUUUCCUGACGCUGAGAAGCGAAAGCGUGGGUAGCAAACAGG